rnacentral:rRNA from 1 species
UGCCAGCAGCCGCGGUAAUACGGAGGGUGCAAGCGUUGUUCGGAAUUACUGGGCGUAAAGCGCGCGUAGGUGGUGAUAUAAGUCAGAUGUGAAAGUCCACGGCUCAACCGUGGAAGUGCAUUUGAAACUGUAUGACUUGAGUAUUGGAGGGGGUAGCGGAAUUCCUAGUGUAGAGGUGAAAUUCGUAGAUAUUAGGAGGAACACCAGUGGCGAAGGCGGCUUUCUGGACCGAUACUGACGCUGAGACGCGAAAGCGUGGGGAGCAAACAGGAUUAGAUA